rnacentral:rRNA from 1 species
ACGCUCGACACCUACGGGGGGCAGCAGUUAGGAAUAUUGGGCAAUGGAGGGAACUCUGACCCAGCAACGCCGCGUGAAGGAAGAAGGUUUUCGGACUGUAAACUUCUGAUCUAAGGGAAAAAGAAAGUGAUGGUACCUUAGGAGAAAGCCACGGCUAACUACGCGCCAACAGCCGCGGUAAUCUGAGCGGGCUGGCAAGGC